rnacentral:tRNA from 1 species
UGGGGUGUAGCUCAACGGGAGAGCGCCGGAUUCCAAACCCGGUAUGUUGCAAGUUCGAAUCUUGUCACCCUGG